CGGAGAAUCUGGNNCCACCUCCCACCCGCUGUUUUUUUACCCUUCUGCUUCGGCCGGCCCGCCUUAACUGGCCGCCGGGGGGCUUACGCCCCCGGCCCCGCGCCCGGCGAAAACCCGCCGAACUCUGUACUCAAGAUUAAAGUCUAAGAGAAAAUAAUAAAUUAUUUAAAACUUUCAACAACGGAUCUCUUGGCCNGGCAUCGCUGAAGAACGCAGCGAAUUGAGAAACGAAAUAAGAAUUGCAAAUUUGGUGAAUCAUCGAGUCUUUGAACGCACAUUGCGCCCCCCGGUAUUCCGGGGCCUUGCCUGUCCGAGCGUCAUUGCUGCCCUCAAGCCCGGCUUGCGUGUUGGGCCCCGACCCCCGAUCUCCGGGGUACGGGCCCGAAAGNUGCGGCGCCUACGCGUCCGGUCCUCUAGCGUAUGGUACUUUGUCACCCGCUCUGUAGGCUCGGCCGGUGCUUGCUGAUCAACCUGAAUCCUUAUCCAGGUUGACCUCGGAUAGGAAGGGAUACCCGCUGAACUUAAGCAUAUCAAAGUCGGAGGAAGUAGGACUACCCGCUGAACUUAAGCAUAUCAUAAGCGGAGGAA
rnacentral:rRNA from 1 species